GACGAACGCUGGCGGCGUGCCUAAUACAUGCAAGUCGAACGCAUUUUCUUUCACCUUAGCUUGCUACACCGAAAGAAAAUGAGUGGCGAACGGCUGAGUAACCCGUGCUUAACCUGCCCAUCAGCGGCGGAUAACACUUGCAAACAGGUGCUAAUACCUCAUAAUUCCAUUUACCGCAUGGUAAAUGGAUUAAAGUCUCUUUUUCGUCUCUGAUCGCUCCACCCGCGGUGCAUUAGCUAGUUGGGGGGUGACCGGCCUACCAAGGCUGCGAUGCCUAGCCGGACCGGAGAGGGGAACGGCCAAACUGGGAAUGAGACAAGGCCCAGACUCCUACGGGAGGGAGCAGGAGGGGAACUUCGGCAAUGGACGGAAGGCUGACCGGGCAAAGCCGCGUGAGUGAAGGAGGGUGUCGGAUCGUAAAAACCUGUUGUUAGAGAAGAACAAGGAUGAGAGUGGAAAGUGCAUCCCUUGACGGUAUCUAACCAGAAAGCCACGGCUAACUACGUG
rnacentral:rRNA from 1 species